rnacentral:rRNA from 1 species
UACGGGGGGGGCAAGCGUUGUUCGGAAUCACUGGGCGUAAAGCGCACGUAGGCGGACUCUUAAGUCGGUGGUGAAAUCCUGGAGCUCAACUCCAGAACUGCCUUUGAUACUGGAGAGCUUGAGUCCGGGAGAGGUGAGUGGAACUCCGAGUGUAGAGGUGAAAUUCGUAGAUAUUCGGAAGAACACCAGUGGCGAAGGCGGCUCACUGGCCCGGUACUGACGCUGAGGUGCGAAAGCGUGGGGAGCAAACAGG